rnacentral:lncRNA from 1 species
CAGAGGAUGUUACCGGGCACCCGCACCGUUGCAAGCGCGUCACACGAGCUCGGUCGCAGACAUACCAGCUAGACUGCUUCCAUUUCCGUUGGACAGAGGGGAGGUGGAGAUGCUGAGUAGCUCGUCCCGGUUACUGAGCCCGUGAGCGGCUCAGCUGAGUUCCAGCCCAGUCAGGGGGAAACUUUGUCUUCAGUCACAUGAAGUAGCUGACCGCCGUUAGCUGCGUGAGCAUCUCAGCGGGGCGGCCGGGCUCCAGGAGGACGGCAGGAAAGCCACUCUCCCGAUCGAGUGAGUCACUCCGCGUUUGGUUUCCCAGUGCGCGGAAGGCUGACGCCCGUGCCACACUGUUGUCUGAUUAGCCUACCAUGGCCGACCAGAGACAGCGCUCACUCUCUACCUCUGGGGAAUCACUGUACCAUGUUCUGGGGCUGGACAAGAAUGCAACCUCAGACGACAUUAAAAAGUCCUAUCGGUAAGAGGGUCUUGUGCCUCGUGUGGUUUGACCUGCAUUUACCAGGAGCCCCUGCGUGUGUCUCCCCCCACUCGGCCCGCAGGUGACUGGGACCCGGAGCUCCGUCUUUGUGAGCGUCAUGUGCCCCCUUGUAGCUUAAAAUUCUCAUAUUGGUAUUUUUGUGGCAACAGAAAAGUAGCACUUUGUAGAUGAUACACACUAUGCGCCCUGGAGCGGCCGGUCACCCCGGGAAGCGGGUCUGAGCCGGCUCCUCCCGGC